ACUUACGAUGCAUGACCAAAAACACACCUGGCUGAUGUUCCCGUUCUAAGAAGUCGAUAACACUGGAGUGAGACUAUUUAUUUGAGCCAGUUUAGCUGUUAUGUAACAGAUUGGUGCCCAUACACCACAUACAUGGAGUCGAGUAGUAUGUGGUGUAAGUAGGAGGUAAGAACCGACCAACACACAGCGACGGAGAGAUAGCCAAGUAAAACCUAAAAGAGACAAAUGGCAGCCCGCAAUGCCACAAACUCACCGGUAAGAUGCAGCUCACAUGACCGGCACUCUUCCAACAACUGGCACGACGACACAAAAA